GCGGUGCUCUUCAUUGAGUGUCGAGGUGGGCCGGCACGUUUACUUUGAACAAAUCUGAGUGCUUAAAGCAGGCCAAGGUGCCUGAAAGGUAGUGCAUGGAAUAAUGGAAAAGGACCUCGGUUCUAUUUUUGUUGGUUUUCGGAACCAGAGGUAAUGAUAAAUGGAGGCAGGCGGGGGCAUUUGUAUUGCAACGUUAGAGGUGAAAUUCUUGGAUCGUUGCAAGACAGACCGCAGCGAAAGCAUUUGCCAAGGAUGCUCUCGUUAAUCAAGAACGAAAGUUAGAGGUUCGAAGGCGAUCAGAUACCGCCCUAGUUCUAACCAUAAACUUAUGCCAGCUAGCGAUCUCGCAGUGCUCCAUUGAUGGCCUGCGAGGCAGCUUCCGGGAAACCAAAGCUUUUGGGUUCCGGGGGAAGUAUGGUUGCAAAGCUGAAACUUAAAGGAAUUGACGGAAGGGCACCACCAGGAGUGGAGCCUGCGGCUUAAUUUGACUCAACACGGGAAACCUCACCAGGCCCAGACACUGGAAGGAUUGACAGAUUGAGAGCUCUUUCUUGAUUCAGUGGGUGGUGGUGCAUGGCCGUUCUUAGUUGGUGGAGCGAUUUGUCUGCUUAAUUGCGAUAACGAACGAGACUCUAGCCUGCUAAAUAGUCGUUUCCGGCUUCCUUUGUGCAGCCGGCGAAGACAAAUCUUCUUAGAGGGACAGGCGGCUUUUAGUCGCACGAGAUUGAGCAAUAACAGGUCUGUGAUGCCCUUAGAUGUUCUGGGCCGCACGCGCGCUACAAUGGAGGUAUCAACGUGUCCUCCCUGGCCGAAAGGUCCGGGUAACCCGCUGAACCACCUCCGUGCUUGGGAUUGGGGCUUGAAAUUGUUCCCCAUGAACGAGGAAUUCCCAGUAAAGGCGUGUCAUUAGCACGCCUUGAUUACGUCCCUGCCCUUUGUACACACCGCCCGUCGCUACUACCGAUUGAAUGAUUUAGUGAGGUCUUCGGACUGGCGCGCGGUGAUCUCUCGGGAUCGCCGAUGUCGCCGGAAAGAUGCCCAAACUUGCUCA
rnacentral:rRNA from 1 species